UGGGGGAUAUUGCACAAUGGGCGAAAGCCUGAUGCAGCGACGCCGCGUGGGGGAUGAAGGCUUUCGGGUUGUAAACCUCUUUCGCUAUCGAACAAGGCCCGCUUAGGGUGGGUUGAGGGUAGGUGGAGAAGAAGCGCCGGCUAACUACGUGCCAGCAGCCGCGGUAAUACGUAGGGCGCGAGCGUUGUCCGGAAUUAUUGAGCGUAAAGGGCUUGUAGGCGGCUUGUUGCGCCUGCUGUGAAAACGCGGGGCUUAACUUCGCGCGUGCAGUGGGUACGGGCAGGCUUGAGUGUGGUAGAGGUGACUGGAAUUCCAGGUGUAGCGGUGGAAUGCGCAGAUAUCUGGAGGAACACCGAUGGCGAAGGCAGGUCACUGGGCCAUUACUGACGCUGAGGAGCGAAAGCAUGGGUAGCGAACAGG
rnacentral:rRNA from 1 species